GACAGAGGGUGCAAACGUUGUUCGGAAUUACUGGGCGUAAAGGGCGCGUAGGCGGCCAACUAAGUCAGACGUGAAAUCCCUCGGCUCAACCGGGGAACUGCGUCUGAUACUGGAUGGCUUGAAUUCGGGAGAGGGAUGCGGAAUUCCAGGUGUAGCGGUGAAAUGCGUAGAUAUCUGGAGGAACACCGGUGGCGAAGGCGGCAUCCUGGACCGAGAUUGACGCUGAUGCGCGAAAGCCAGGGGAGCAAACGGG
rnacentral:rRNA from 1 species